rnacentral:rRNA from 1 species
GUGGGGAAUUUUGGACAAUGGGCGCAAGCCUGAUCCAGCAAUGCCGCGUGCAGGAAGAAGGCCUUCGGGUUGUAAACUGCUUUUGUACGGAACGAAACGGUCCUGGCUAAUAUCCGGGGCUAAUGACGGUACCGUAAGAAUAAGCACCGGCUAACUACGUGCCAGCAGCCGCGGUAAUACGUAGGGUGCGAGCGUUAAUCGGAAUUACUGGGCGUAAAGCGUGCGCAGGCGGUGCUGUAAGACAGGCGUGAAAUCCCCGGGCUCAACCUGGGAAUUGCGCUUGGGACUGCAGUGCUGGAGUGCGGCAGAGGGGGAUGGAAUUCCGCGUGUAGCAGUGAAAUGCGUAGAUAUGCGGAGGAACACCGAUGGCGAAGGCAAUCCCCUGGGCCUGCACUGACGCUCAUGCACGAAAGCGUGGGGAGCAAACAGGAUUAGAAACCCGAGUAGUCC